AGAUGUGUGGGCAAUCUGGCCACAACAGCUGUCACUACAUUGGUCACCAGGGUUGAUUUGAUUGAUUUGACUGGCUAGGUGGGUGUCCCCUUUCCCUCCUCACUCUUCCCAAAGCCAAGCACUUGGUGGAAGAGGACAACCUUCGCUGAUAGGGGAAGAUUGUUCUUCAGUCAAGGAUAUUUGAGUAGCUGCAUCUCCCCUGAUAGUUCCUCCAAACAAGUUGAAGACAUUUGAUAUAGUGCCUAGACAGUGGAACAGAUGAAUGUGUAACAUACUGGAGAAUGUACUCUGCACUGCAUUGGGCAAAUACUACCUGUGUUAUAUCUU
rfam:Callithrix jacchus chromosome 8, whole genome shotgun sequence